rnacentral:lncRNA from 1 species
GUUUGCUCUAAUUUUCUCAGAUGGAGACUAUUCAUACUAAGUAAGAUUAAGUUUUGUAAUGACAUCUUAUCCAUUGCAUAGUACAAGCACCCUAAAAUUUAUAUUUUUUAUUUAUAAUUUUUUAAAAAAUUAAGUUUUGUGGAGGAUAUUAGAGGAAAUUCAAAAAGCAUUUAAACCCAAUCUUUUAAUUUUACCAUUUAAAUGCUUUAAUCUCUUCAUUACCGUAAUUUAAUUUCUAAUUAUUGGGUUCCUAAUUAUAGACCUUAAUGGAU